AUUGAACGCUGGCGGCGUGCAUAACACAUGCAAGUCGAGCGGUAACGCGGGAGCAAUCCUGGCGACGAGCGGCGAACGGGUGAGUAAUGCUUCGGAAUCUACCCAGUAGUGGGGAAUAACUAACCGAAAGGUUAGCUAAUGCCGCAUACGACCUAUGGGUGAAAGCGGGGGAUCGUAAGACCUCGCGCUAUUGGAUGAGCCGAAGUCGGAUUAGCUAGUUGGUAAGGUAACGGCUUACCAAGGCGACAAUCCGUAGCUGGUCUGAGGGGACGACCAGCCACACUGGGACUGAGACACGGCCCAGACUCCUACGGGAGGCAGCAGUGGGGAAUAUUGGACAAUGGGGGCAACCCUGAUCCAGCGACGCCGCGUGUGUGAAGAAGGCCUGCGGGUUGUAAAGCACUUUUAGUGGGGAUGAAAAGCUCAGGGCUAAUAACCUUGGGUCUUGACCUAACCCAAAGAAAAAGCACCGGCUAACUCUGUGCCAGCAGCCGCGGUAAUACAGAGGGUGCGAGCGUUAAUCGGAAUUACUGGGCGUAAAGCGUGCGUAGACGGUUUUAUAAGUCGGAUGUGAAAUCCCCGGGCUUAACCUGGGAAUUGCAUUCGAGACUGCAA
rnacentral:rRNA from 1 species